GUGGACGUAGCGGUGCUGCCGCCGUCGUUUGAACCGGAUCCGGAUAGGGACUGCUGGCGGGGAACAUCAAUUCGAAAGGCGCGGGAAUCCGAAAAUCACAAAUUUAGACAUUUUAGGAUCACACAGGAAAGUAGAAAAAAGUGCAUUGUUUACUUUCGGUUUGAUUCUCUCAAUGGGUUCUGACAAUGGCUGAUUAUUUAUAUCGGAUGGAGCGUCGAUCGUGUACGUCGGAGAUUCCGCGUGCCAGUGGCAAUUUUGGACUUGGUUUCGACUCGAGCCAAAACAUUCAGCUGGAAUCCGCCGCACUCAGUCAAGAGCUCGCUUCAGCGGUUUUAUCGGAGUUGUUAUCAUCCCCUAGAAGCUGGCUGGAGAAGAAUAACGCAAGAAUACUACACUCUGGGUUCUCGGAGUGGAGCGAUCGAGCAGAACGCUGAAGGUCAAUUUGUCCCGUCUUCGUGGUGGAAGCUGCCCGUGGCGCCGGAAGGCGACAAGCCGGUUGAAACCAAAUUAUAGGAGAAAUUAAUCCGCGAAUGACUAUGUCGUUGUGUUGUCGAGUGAAACGUGUGUCAUUUCGGCUGGCCCCGUCGCGCUGGACACAGUACGGGAAGUGGUGGUGGCACCUGUUCCAACCGCUGCUCCGAAUGCAACGUCUGCAACACCCGUAACACCUGCUUUUCUACGCAACACGGACAGUUGGGACGUGAUUCUGUUGAUGAUACAUCCUGUAGGCCGACGGAGAAGAUUAGCCACGAUAAUCGUCACUUCCGAAUCGUGGCACGUUCAUCAGACGCCGAACCCGCUUCCCAUAUAAACCCGUGAUAUUUCCCGCCAUAGAUACGAGGGACCUUCAUGGGUCCGUACAUUUUUGAGGAUGUCGUCCAUGAGUGGCAAGCUGAUUGCUGAGUGAAAUUACCCUCGGACGUUCCGCAAACGGUGUGAGGCAAGCGUUCCCCAGCGCUUGCAUCAAUCGUUAUUUGAAGCGGAGUCUGCCGACGACAUGAUCAUCAUGUUAACCAGUGACAAUUUAACUAUGGUCGACCGAUGACGUUUCAGAUCAAACCGUAAGUAAAAG